UACGUAGGCAGCAAGCGUUGUUCGGAGUUACUGGGCGUAAAGGGUGCGUAGGCGGUCCUAUAAGUAUGGUGUGAAAUCUCCCGGCUUAACUGGGAGGGUGCGCUAUAGACUGUGGGACUAGAGUGUGGGAGAGGAAAGUGGAAUUCCUGGUGUAGCGGUGAAAUGCGUAGAUAUUGGAAAGACCACCGAUGGCGAAGGCACUCUACUGGGCCAUUACUGACACUGAGAGACGAAAGCUAGGGGAGCAAAUGGG
rnacentral:rRNA from 1 species